rnacentral:rRNA from 1 species
CGGCGAGUGAAGCGGCAAUAGCUCAAAUUUGAAAGCUGGCGUCUUCGACGUCCGCGUUGUAAUUUGUAGAGGAUGCUUCGGCGAGGACUCCUGCCUAAGUUCCCUGGAAUGGGACGUCACAGAGGGUGAGAAUCCCGUAUGUGGCGGGCGGUCCAAGCCAUGUGAAGCUCCUUCGACGAGUCGAGUUGUUUGGGAAUGCAGCUCCAAAUGGGAGGUAAAUUUCUUCUAAAGCUAAAUACCGGCCAGAGACCGAUAGCGCACAAGUAGAGUGAUCGAAAGAUGAAAAGCACUUUGGAAAGAGAGUUAAAAAGUACGUGAAAUUGUUGAAAGGGAAGCGCUUGCAACCAGACUCGUUCGCAGUUGCUCAGCCGGCCUCUUGGCCGGUGUACUCUUCUGCGGUCGGGCCAGCAUCAGUUCGGGCGGCUGGAUAAAGGUGUCGGGAAUGUAGCUCCCCUCGGGGAGUGUUAUAGCCCGGCGCGGAAUGCAGCCAGCCUGGACUGAGGAUCUCGCUUCGGCAAGGAUGCUGGCGUAAUGGUUGUAAGCGGCCCGUCUUGAAACACGGACCAAGGAGUCUAACAUCUAUGCGAGUGUUUGGGUGUCAAACCCAUACGCGUAAUGAAAGUGAACGGAGGUGGGAACCCGCAAGGGUGCACCAUCGACCGAUCCUGAUGUCUUCGGAUGGAUUUGAGUAAGAGCAUAGCUGUUGGGACCCGAAAGAUGGUGAACUAUGCCUGAAUAGGGUGAAGCCAGAGGAAACUCUG